rnacentral:rRNA from 1 species
ACGCUGGCGGCAUGCUUUACACAUGCAAGUCGGACGGCAGCACAGAGAAGCUUGCUUCUUGGGUGGCGAGUGGCGAACGGGUAAGUAACAUAUCGGAACGUACCGAGUAAUGGGGGAUAACUAAUCGAAAGAUUAGCUAAUACCGCAUAUUCUCUGAGGAGGAAAGCAGGGGACCUUCGGGCCUUGCGUUAUUCGAGCGGCCGAUAUCUGAUUAGCUAGUUGGUGGGGUAAAGGCCUACCAAGGCGACGAUCAGUAGCGGGUCUGAGAGGAUGAUCCGCCACACUGGGACUGAGACACGGCCCAGACUCCUACGGGAGGCAGCAGUGGGGAAUUUUGGACAAUGGGCGCAAGCCUGAUCCAGCCAUGCCGCGUGUCUGAAGAAGGCCUUCGGGUUGUAAAGGACUUUUGUCAGGGAAGAAAAGGCUGUUGCUAAUACCGACAGUUGAUGACGGUACCUGAAGAAUAAGCACCGGCUAACUACGUGCCAGCAGCCGCGGUAAUAUGUAGGGUGCGAGCGUUAAUCGGAAUUACUGGGCGUAAAGCGAGCGCAGACGGUUACUUAAGCAGGAUGUGAAAUCCCCGGGCUCAACCUGGGAACUGCGUUCUGAACUGGGUGACUAGAGUGUGUCAGAGGGAGGUAGAAUUCCACGUGUAGCAGUGAAAUGCGUAGAGAUGUGGAGGAAUACCGAUGGCGAAGGCAGCCUCCUGGGAUAACACUGACGUUCAUGCUCGAAAGCGUGGGUAGCAAACAGGAUUAGAUACCCUGGUAGUCCACGCCCUAAACGAUGUCAAUUAGCUGUUGGGCAACUUGAUUGCUUAGUAGCGUAGCUAACGCGUGAAAUUGACCGCCUGGGGAGUACGGUCGCAAGAUUAAAACUCAAAGGAAUUGACGGGGACCCGCACAAGC